rnacentral:rRNA from 1 species
CCUACGGGAGGCAGCAGUGGGGGAUAUUGCACAAUGGGGGAAACCCUGAUGCAGCGACGCCGCGUGGGUGAAGAAGCGCCUCGGCGCGUAAAGCCCUGUCAGCAGGGAAGAAAAUGACGGUAACUGAAGAAGAAGCCCCGGCUAACUACGUGCCAGCAGCCGCGGUAAUACGUAGGGGGCAAGCGUUAACCGGAUUUACUGGGUGUAAAGGGGGCGCAGACGGCGAUGCAAGCCAGGGGUGAAAGCCCGGGGCCCAACCCCGGGACUGCUCUUGGAACUGCGUGGCUAGAGUGCAGGAGGGGCAGGCGGAAUUCCGGGUGUAGCGGUGAAAUGCGUAGAUAUCAGGAGGAACACCGGUGGCGAAGGCGGCCUGCUGGACUGCAACUGACGUUGAGGCCCGAAAGCGUGGGGAGCAAACAGGAUUAGAUACCCUGUAGUC